GGUUGCCUACGGGGCGCAGCAGUAGGGAAUAUUGCUCAAUGGGGGAAACCCUGAAGCAGCAACGCCGCGUGAAGGAAGAAGGCUUUCGGGUUGUAAACUUCUUUUGACAGGGAAGAGUAGAAGACGGUACCUGUCGAAUAAGCCACGGCUAACUACGUGCCAGCAGCCGCGGUAAUACGUAGGUGGCAAGCGUUGUCCGGAUUUACUGGGUGUAAAGGGCGUGUAGCCGGGUUGACAAGUCAGAUGUGAAAUCCUGCGGCUUAACCGCAGAACUGCAUUUGAAACUGUUGAUCUUGAGUACUGGA
rnacentral:rRNA from 1 species